ACGACCUUCCCAAGCAGCUCCACACUCCACGCAUUCUGAUCGCUUUGGGAGCCAUUUCAGAUGCCACGAGGUUCUCUGCAUCUCCAGAGGUCAACCGAGUUGUGCUGGUCUGGCACAUGCACGAACCAUCCCAAAAGUUCAG